UACGUAGGGUGCUAGCGUUGUCCGGAAUCAUUGGGCGUAAAGAGCGUGUAGGCGGCUUGGUAAGUCCGCUGUGAAAGUCCAGGGCUCAACCCUGGAAUGCCAGUGGAUACUGUCAAGCUAGAGUCCGGAAGAGGCGAGUGGAAUUCCUGGUGUAGCGGUGAAAUGCGCAGAUAUCAGGAGGAACACCAAUGGCGAAGGCAGCUCGCUGGGACGGUACUGACGCUGAGACGCGAAAGCGUGGGGAGCAAACAGG
rnacentral:rRNA from 1 species